rnacentral:lncRNA from 1 species
GAAUGCUUAUCAAAUGACAUCCUAAUUUUCUUGGUUAGUUGCAGAGAAGAAAAUGCCAUCAAAGUCUUCCGCGGAUAUUGACAGUGCAGCAGCUCUUAUUGAGAGAUUUGAAGCCAUUGAAGAAAUAACAGUUUUAAUCUAACAUUGAUUUUCUUAUUAGUACUGUGUAAUUUGUGUUCUCAGUUGUGUCAUUUAUACUAUACGCAGUCCUUUUUUAUAAGUUACACAUUGUUUUAAUUACA